AUCUGCCCAAACCCCAGCUCAUGAACAUGCACGUAGGUCCCAAAUGUGAUAAGGCCAAUUAAACAAUUCUCGGGCAAUGUGCCCACUACCUGUAGCAAAGAUGAUUUCAGGUAACCAAUCUCCUCUUCAAUAACACAGGUAUCGAUCACGAAAAGAAAAACAGGGUUCGUCAAGGAGGCUUUUUCCGAAGGAGUUUCGUAUUCAAUGGUAGUAUAUUGCGGGAACAACUCAGCCGGCAUAUUAGUCUCCGAUAUAGACUGAUAACUCGGAGGAAAGUGAUUACGCUGAAGGCAAAAACAGCAGAUCCAGAUCUUAGUAGACGAGAAAUCAACGAUGGAGAAAGGAUUGAGAACCGAUCGGCAAUUGCGGCAACGGAGUGGUGCGUAAGGAAGAGUAGGAGUGUCAGGGAAGGGUUUUAACGGUGUGUAUAUGGCGGAAACGGGAAUUACGCAUUGCGCAGCCUCCGAUUUGCUUCCCGGCAAUACGUUCCACGGCAUCCUUACGGCGUCUUGUGUUUCUAAUUCAAGGAAUUCCGUCAUUGUUGCGGCGAGUGUUGCUGGCGGAGUGGUAGUUUAUUGAUCGA
rnacentral:misc_RNA from 1 species